CUGCUGGAAAAGCCAUCAUUUUGCUGGGCUAUUGAUGUUGUGUUACCUUACAUGAGGGGAAAACAGGAGUUUUUGGCAAUGUGAGCAGAUGAAGAAUCUUGUGAUGGGAAGAUUAUCCUGCGGUAUCUAGGUGGGCUGUAAAUACAGUCACAUGCAUCGUUAUAAUCAGACGACAAAGAGAGAUCUGAAAACACACAGAGGAGGCCCCAGUGUGGAGACCAGUAGAGGGAGG
rnacentral:lncRNA from 1 species